rnacentral:rRNA from 2 species
UAGAGUUUGAUCCUGGCUCAGGAUGAACGCCGGCGGUGUGCCUAAUACAUGCAAGUCGUACGCACUGGCCCAACUGAUUGAUGGUGCUUGCACCUGAUUGACGAUGGAUCACCAGUGAGUGGCGGACGGGUGAGUAACACGUAGGUAACCUGCCCCGGAGCGGGGGAUAACAUUUGGAAACAGAUGCUAAUACCGCAUAACAACAAAAGCCACAUGGCUUUUGUUUGAAAGAUGGCUUUGGCUAUCACUCUGGGAUGGACCUGCGGUGCAUUAGCUAGUUGGUAAGGUAACGGCUUACCAAGGCGAUGAUGCAUAGCCGAGUUGAGAGACUGAUCGGCCACAAUGGAACUGAGACACGGUCCAUACUCCUACGGGAGGCAGCAGUAGGGAAUCUUCCACAAUGGGCGCAAGCCUGAUGGAGCAACACCGCGUGAGUGAAGAAGGGUUUCGGCUCGUAAAGCAUCUUUGUUGGAGAAGAACGUGCGUGAGAGUAACUGUUCACGCAGUGACGUAUCCACCAGAAUGCCG